rnacentral:rRNA from 1 species
UACGUAGGGUGCAAGCGUUUGUCCGGAAUUAUUGGGCGUAAAGAGCUCGUAGGCGGUCUGUCGCGUCUGCUGUGAAAACUCGGGGCUUAACCCCGGGCCUGCAGUGGGUACGGGCAGACUAGAGUGCGGUAGGGGAGACUGGAAUUCCUGGUGUAGCGGUGAAAUGCGCAGAUAUCAGGAGGAACACCGGUGGCGAAGGCGGGUCUCUGGGCCGAAACUGACGCUGAGGAGCGAAAGCGUGGGGAGCGAACAGG